rnacentral:rRNA from 1 species
AGCAGCCGCGGUAAUUCCAGCUCCAAUAGCGUAUAUUAAAGUUGUUGCAGUUAAAAAGCUCGUAGUUGAAUUUCGGGAUCAAAUUGUCGGUCGUGCCUCGGUACGCACUGGUAUUAUUGGUUCCUACCUUCUGAAGAACCGCGAUGUCAUUAAUUUGGUGUCGUGGGGAAUCAGGACUGUUACUUUGAAAAAAUUAGAGUGUUUAAAGCAGGCUUACGCUUGAAUACAUUAGCAUGGAAUAAUGAAAUAGGACGUUUGAUUCUAUUUUGUUGGUUUCUAGGAUUGACGUAAUGAUUAAUAGGGAUAGUUGGGGGCAUUAGUAUUCAAUUGUCAGAGGUGAAAUUCUUGGAUUUAUUGAAGACUAACUACUGCGAAAGCAUUUGCCAAGGAUGUUUUCAUUAAUCAAGAACGAAAGUUAGGGGAUCGAAGACGAUCAGAUACCGUCGUAGUCUUAACCAUAAACUAUGCCGACUAGGGAUCGGAUGAUGUUAAUUUUUUAAUGACUCAUUCGGCGCCUUAC